UUUCCACUUUUCCCCCAACAUCUCCUCCCUAAUUCUUCCAUCCUCUUCCUCACACUCCAACAAACCCAUUUCUGAUAUUACUUGGUCCAAGUCAAUUUUGCUUUUGCUGAAAAAAUAAAUCUUUUUGUUUCCCCCCUCAUCCCUUGCUUUCAACCAUCGACCAAAGCCACCACCAUUCCCCUGCCUUCAGCCAUCGCCCAAAACCAUCAAUCAAAACCACCAACAUUCCCUUGCCUUUCACCCAUCGCCCCAAAUUCGCCACUAUUUCCCUUCCUUCAGCCGCCCAUCAACAUUAUCAAAUUCUUCAUCAACACACCUCGAACCCCCAUCAUCAUCAUCAAAAUGGUAGCUAAAACCUUGAGCAAAAAGGCAGUAGAUUUGGCCAGCGGUAGCCACCAUGAAUUCAUAACAAAAAAAUGGCAGAAACUUCGAGAUUAAAUAGAAGAAAUUAGUUAUAGGAUAUGUGAAAUUAUCUCAUCUUUUGCCAUUGUUGUGUCAAAAUGGGAAUUGAAAAGUUACAAUUUUCCCUUAUUCGAGUCGGAUUACUCACCACCACUCAGGUCUGUUGAAGUCCCUUCCAUGGGGUCAGGAUGGUUGCUGGUUUGGUUAGGGGAGUUGUGGUGGUGGUGUGGGUUGACGGUGGCCAAACGGGUAAGG
rnacentral:lncRNA from 1 species